rnacentral:rRNA from 1 species
CGGCUUGACGGUACCUGCAGAAAAAGCACCGGCUAACUACGUGCCAGCAGCCGCGGUAAUACGUAGGGUGCGAGCGUUGUCCGGAAUUAUUGGGCGUAAAGAGCUCGUAGGCGGUUUGUCACGUCUGCUGUGAAAUCCCGAGGCUCAACCUCGGGCCUGCAGUGGGUACGGGCAGACUGGAGUGCGGUAGGGGAGAUUGGAAUUCCUGGUGUAGCGGUGGAAUGCGCAGAUAUCAGGAGGAACACCGAUGGCGAAGGCAGAUCUCUGGGCCGUAACUGACGCUGAGGAGCGAAAGCGUGGGGAGCGAACAGGAUUAGAUACCCUGGUAGUCCACGCCGUAAACGUUGGGCGCUAGAUGUGGGGACCAUUCCACGGUUUCCGUGUCGUAGCUAACGCAUUAAGCGCCCCGCCUGGGGAGUACGGCCGCAAGGCUAAAACUCAAAGGAAUUGACGGGGGCCCGCACAAGCGGCGGAGCAUGCGGAUUAAUUCGAUGCAACGCGAAGAACCUUACCAAGGCUUGACAUAUACGAGAACGCCGCAGAAAUGUGGAACUCUUUGGACACUCGUAUACAGGUGGUGCAUGGUUGUCGUCAGCUCGUGUCGUGAGAUGUUGGGUUAAGUCCCGCAACGAGCGCAACCCUCGUCGUAUGUUGCCAGCACGUAAUGGUGGGAACUCAUAUGAGACUGCCGGGGUCAACUCGGAGGAAGGUGGGGAUGACGUCAAAUCAUCAUGCCCCUUAUGUCUUGGGCUUCACGCAUGCUACAAUGGCCGGUACAAAGGGCUGCGAUGUCGUAAGGCGGAGCGAAUCCCAAAAAGCCGGUCUCAGUUCGGAUUGAGGUCUGCAACUCGACCUCAUGAAGUCG